rnacentral:rRNA from 1 species
AUUGAACGCUGGCGGCAUGCCUUACACAUGCAAGUCGAACGGCAGCGCGGGGCAACCUGGCGGCGAGUGGCGAACGGGUGAGUAAUAUAUCGGAACGUACCCUGGAGUGGGGGAUAACGUAGCGAAAGUUACGCUAAUACCGCAUACGAUCUAAGGAUGAAAGUGGGGGAUUCGCAAGAACCUCAUGCUCCUGGAGCGGCCGAUAUCUGAUUAGCUAGUUGGUAGGGUAAAAGCCUACCAAGGCAUCGAUCAGUAGCUGGUCUGAGAGGACGACCAGCCACACUGGAACUGAGACACGGUCCAGACUCCUACGGGAGGCAGCAGUGGGGAAUUUUGGACAAUGGGCGCAAGCCUGAUCCAGCAAUGCCGCGUGAGUGAAGAAGGCCUUCGGGCUGUAAAGCUCUUUUGUCAGGGAAGAAACGGACUUUUCUAAUACAGAGGUCUAAUGACGGUA